ensembl:snRNA U2 U2 spliceosomal RNA
AUUGCUUUUCAGCCUUUUGGCUAAGAUCAAGUGUAGUAUCUGUUCUUAUCAGUUUAAUAAAAUUGUGGUCCAGUCUUGGCAUGUAUGUCUUGUGAUUGUGCCAUCUUAACUGCUAAUGGUCAUGCAGCGAACAAGAUGCAUAAAGGGUACAUGAUGGCCAGCUCAU